AGAGUUUGAUCCUGGCUCAGGACGAACGCUGGCGGCGUGCCUAAUACAUGCAAGUCGAGCGGAUCAAUAGGAGCUUGCUCCUGUUGAUUAGCGGCGGACGGGUGAGUAACACGUGGGCAACCUGCCUGUAAGACUGGGAUAACACCGGGAAACCGGUGCUAAUACCGGAUAACUCUUUCUCUCACAUGAGGGAAAGUUAA
rnacentral:rRNA from 1 species